GUUUAAAGAAUCUAUAUAUCUUUAAUUUAGCAUGCCUCUUCAAUACAGUCUCUGUGAAAUAUAGAAAUAUAGAAAAGCACUUUUCUGUUGCUCUUAUGCAUAGAUUUUAUGUGUAGUUCUGUUAUAAUAAUAACAACUGACAUUUAUUAAGUGUUUACUAUAUGUUGGGCAUGCUUUUAAGUACUCUGUAUAUAUGUUUUGUAAAUUUUCAUGCUGACACUGAAAAGCUGCUAUACUUUCCUCUUUUAAUAAAUAUAGACACUGAAGGAGAGGGUUUAAUUAAGUUGCAAAUGAUUUGCAUGUCCAUCAUUUAUUCACUCAUUUAACAAGAUUAUUGAAUACCCCUUUUUGUUAGGUAUUAUGAUAGAGAUUGGGAAGCAAGAUGUAAAUAAGCAAGUAAGUUUCUGGAUCUUGGAAUACUUAAAUGUUUGUGAUAAAGACAAUACAUGAAAACAAGCAGCAACAAUAAAGAAGAUAACUUCCUCUACUGAUAUAUCUAUGAAAAACAAAUUAAAUAUAAUGAUAAAUACAGUAAAUAUGGGUAUAGAGUGUGGCUUUAGAUAGGAGAGUCAAGGAAUGUUUAACAAAGUGAGAGUAGAGUUUAAGCUACGUGGAACUGAAUCUGCUAAGACAAAUUAGGCAUAGAAGAUGCAGGGAAAGAGACUUCCAGCCAGGGUGAAGAGUGAGCAGGAACAGAAAGGAGGCCAGUAUACUUGCAGCAUAGUGCAUGAGAGACAACAACAAAAAGAGGUCAAUCAAGUAAACCCAAGUCCUCUCACUCUGGAGCCUGCCUUCUUAUGUAAUAACUAAGAUUUUGAACUCUCUCAGCCAUAGAGUAUUCCCAGCUUGGGAAUGAACUGCAAGGCCAAGGUUGCUGUCCCAAAGCGUAAAAUCUCUGAGAACUCUCCAGCAUUCUUAAAACAUAUAAAUUUUACAUUCUAUUUCUAAUAUAUAUUUAAUUUAUCAUGAGAAUAAUACCCCCUUCCUCUUGAAUUUCUUGGAAGAUGAGCCAUAUUUCUUCUGAGACUCUGCAGGGAACUGCCUGGAGCAUUUCUGAGCAUACCCGAAUGUAUAUAGGAUACAUUUUGAGAAACACGAUCACCAUAGCUUAUGGCUGUGAAACCUCAGUUGUAACAUCAAUAAAAUGGGAAGAACAAAAAAGUUGCUGUGAAGAUAAAAUGAGUAAUGAUGGAAUAGUCUGUGGUCGAGUGCAGAAAUACUAUUACCUGUUCCUGGAGGCAAAGAUUAAAGGAAUAGACACCUUCCUCAGCCAGAAUGACCCAGGCCAGGAGCCACAGUGUCAACUUGGAAAAUUUCUCCUUCCUCAUCUCCACAUCAUGUCUGCAGCCUUAACUGCUUGACACCUGACAACUACUCUUAUCUCCAUUGUGUUGUUUUGUUUUGUGUCAUGAUCUUUUUGAAUGUGCAAUUGUAAUGAUCUCUUAACUUGUUUAUUGACCCCAAACUUCACCUGCUUUCCACACUGCUGCCAGAGUCAGGACCCCUUAGUGUGGGCUAAAAGGUGAUGAUUUGUAUCUCUAGCUGCUGUAAACCCCACCCACUCACCCCUGCAUUCCAGAUACGCUCAGACACUUUGCCAAACAAGUCAGAUUGAUUGAAAUCUCCAUGCCCUGAUCAUGUGUCUGCCUGUACUCAGAAUGCCCUUUCUCUGGUUCUUCACCUAAUGAGCUCUUACUGAUCUUUCAAAAGUUAUCUCAUCAGCCACUUUUAGCUUUUAUUUCCAAAUCCGUUACCUCCAACACUUAGGUUAAAUUGACCAACCUCUCAUCCUUCUUUAUUAUCCUUAAAUAAGUAUAAAAUAUGAUGUUACUAUAGCACUACCAGUAAAUACUUAGCUGCAGUUUUUAAUUUACACAAGAGGCUCACCCUCCGAACUGUAUGCUCCUUGGGAUAGAGCACUGUGUGUUAUUCAUCCCUAAUGCUUGGCAUGAAGCAGGCACUCAGUUCAUGUUUACUGAAAAAGUGAAUUAAUAAUUAUCUUGUUACUGCCUAAAAUCUU
rnacentral:lncRNA from 10 species